GCCGCGGUAAUUUGACCGUGCGAAGGUAGCAUAGUCAGUAGUCUUUUAAUUGAAGGCUUGAAUGAAAGGUUGGACGAGGGAUGAGCUGUCUCCUUUAUGUAGUUUGAAUUUAACUUUUGAGUGAAAAGGCUCAAAUUAUUUAGUGGGACGAUAAGACCCUAUAAAACUUUAUAUAAGUUUAAUUUGGCUUACAAUUUGAGUGAAAAGUAGCUUUAUUAGGCUUAUAUUUCGUUGGGGAGAUGUAGAUAUAAUGUGUAACUGUCUAUUUAAUUUAAUAAUUAUAAUUAGUGUGUGAUCCUUCUUUGUGGAUUAAAAGUAUAAGUUACUUUAGGGAUAACAGCGUGAUUUUCUUUGAGAGUUCUUAUCGACAAGAGUAGUUGCGACCUCGAUGUUGAAUUAAAAUUUCAGUUAGGUGUAGCCGUCUAGCUGGUAGGUCUGUUCGACCUUUAAAAUU
rnacentral:rRNA from 1 species